GCCUGGAUAGCUCAGUUGGUUAUAGCAUGGUGUUAAUAACACCAAGGUUGCUGGUUCAAUCCCUGGAUGGGACA